rnacentral:pre_miRNA from 1 species
GAAGAAGAGGAAGAGCUCCUUGAAGUUCAAUGGAGGGUUUAGCAGGGUGUAGUAAAGCUGCUAAGCUAUGGAUCCCAUAAGCCUUAUCUAAUUCAAAACAGUUGAUGAUAAAGUUUUUAUUUUUUAUGGAUUCCAUAUCUCAGGAGCUUUCACUCACCCCUUCAAUGGCUUCACUCUUCUUUGGAUUGAAGGGAGCUCUUCAUCUCUCUCUC